rnacentral:rRNA from 1 species
CAGCCGCCGCGGUAAUACAGAGGGUGCGAGCGUUAAUCGGAUUUAAUGGGCGUAAAGCGUGCGUAGGCGGCUUUUUAAGUCGGAUGUGAAAUCCCUGAGCUUAACUUAGGAAUUGCAUUCGAUACUGGGAAGCUAGAGUAUGGGAGAGGAUGGUAGAAUUCCAGGUGUAGCGGUGAAAUGCGUAGAGAUCUGGAGGAAUACCGAUGGCGAAGGCAGCCAUCUGGCCUAAUACUGACGCUGAGGUACGAAAGCAUGGGGAGCAAACAGGAUUAGAUACCCCAGUAGUCCCUGUCUCUUAUAC